GGAAGUGAGGGCGAUCUGGCUGCGACAUUUGUCACCCCACUGAUCGCCAGGGUUGACUCGGCUGAUCUGGCUGACGAGGCAGGUGUCCCCUUCCUCCCUCACUGCUCCACGUGUGUCCCUUCCGAAGCUGCGCACUUGUCGAAGAGGACAACCAUCCCUGAUAGAAGAGGACCAGUCUUCGGUCAAGGGUGUACAGGUAGCUGCGCUCCCCUGCUAGAACCUCCAAACAUGCGCUAAAGGUCCAUUUAAAAGAAUAACAAUGGCAUCGAUUCUCCCUUCUAUUUCAUCUGUCCUUUUCCAGCAAGAAGAAAAGAGAC
ensembl:misc_RNA 7SK 7SK RNA